CAUCACAGCAAGGCCAUUUUUUGAUCCAUCGGCUACCGCCUCAAGCCCUCCACAAAACACGACGAAUCGGGAAUAACCGACGAACAAAGUGUUCGCCUUGAAAGCCUGCAAAUACUGCUGCAGGUGACGCGAGCAGGUGAUUAAUUCACAGUUACAUGGAGGAAAGCACCAUCAGGCCUGGC